rnacentral:rRNA from 1 species
AGAGUUGAUCAUGGCUCAGGAUGAACGCUGGCGGCGUGCCUAACACAUGCAAGUCGAGCGAUUACUUCGGUAAAGAGCGGCGGACGGGUGAGUAACGCGUGGGUAACCUGCCUCAUACACAUGGAUAACAUACCGAAAGGUAUGCUAAUACAGGAUAAUAUAAGAGAUUCACAUGGAUUUCUUAUCAAAGCUCCGGCGGUAUGAGAUGGACCCGCGUCUGAUUAGCUAGUUGGUAAGGUAAUGGCUUACCAAGGCGACGAUCAGUAGCCGACCUGAGAGGGUGAUCGGCCACAUUGGAACUGAGACACGGUCCAAACUCCUACGGGAGGCAGCAGUGGGGAAUAUUGCACAAUGGGCGAAAGCCUGAUGCAAGCAACGCCGCGUGAGUGAUGAAGGCCUUCGGGUCGUAAAACUCUGUCCUCAAGGAAGAUAAUGACGGUACUUGAGGAGGAAGCCCCGGCUAACUACGUGCCAGCAGCAGC